rfam:Haladaptatus litoreus strain CGMCC 1.7737 genome assembly, contig: Ga0104463_101
CCUGCAAUCGCAGGACGGAAUGUGGCGAGCGGGAUUCUGCGAAUCCCGCUCGCUGAACCACUCA